UACGUAGGGGGCAAGCGUUGUCCGGAUUUAUUGGGCGUAAAGAGCGUGUAGGCGGUUAGGUAGGUCCGGUGUGAAAACUCGAGGCUCAACCUCGAGACGCCGAUGGAAACCAUCUGACUAGAGUCCGGAAGAGGAGAGUGGAAUUCCUGGUGUAGCGGUGAAAUGCGCAGAUAUCAGGAAGAACACCCGUGGCUAAGGCGGCUCUCUAGUACGUGACUGACGCUGAGACGCGAAAGCGUGGGGAGCGAACAGG
rnacentral:rRNA from 1 species